rnacentral:misc_RNA from 1 species
GAAAUGCGAUAAGUAGUGUGAAUUGCAGAAUUCAGUGAAUCAUCGAAUCUUUGAACGCACAUUACGCCCUUUGGUAUUCCAAAGGGCAUGCCUGUUCGAGCGUCAUUUGUACCCUCAAGCUUUGCUUGGUGUUGGGCGUCUUGUCUCUAGCUUUGCUGGAGACUCGCCUUAAAGUAAUUGGCAGCCGGCCUACUGGUUUCGGAGCGCAGCACAAGUCGCACUCUCUAUCAGCAAAGGUCUAGCAUCCAUUAAGCCUUUUUUCAACUUUUGACCUCGGAUCAGGUAGGGAUACCCGCUGAACUUAAGC